rnacentral:rRNA from 1 species
ACAGGCGUAGGCGAUGGAUAACAGGUUGAUAUUCCUGUACCACCUAUAAUCGUUUUAAUCGAUGGGGGGACGCAGUAGGAUAGGCGAAGCGUACGAUUGGAUUGUACGUCUAAGCAGUGAGAUUGAGUGUUAGGCAAAUCCGGCACUCUUAAGAUUGAGCUGUGAUGGGGAGAGGAAAUUGUUUCCUCGAGUCGUUGAUUUCACACUGCCGAGAAAAGCCUCUAGAUAGAGAUUAGGUGCCCGUACCGCAAACCGACACAGGUAGUCAAGAUGAGAAUUCUAAGGUGAGCGAGCGAACUCUCGUUAAGGAACUCGGCAAAAUGACCCCGUAACUUCGGGAGAAGGGGUGCUCUUUAGGGUGCAAGCCCAGAAGAGCCGCAGUGAAUAGGCCCAAGCGACUGUUUAUCAAAAACACAGGUCUCUGCUAAACCGUAAGGUGAUGUAUAGGGGCUGACGCCUGCCCGGUGCUGGAAGGUUAAGAGGAGUGGUUAGCUUCUGCGAAGCUACGAAUCGAAGCCCCAGUAAACGGCGGCCGUAACUAUAACGGUCCUAAGGUAGCGAAAUUCCUUGUCGGGUAAGUUCCGACCCGCACGAAAGGCGUAACGAUUUGGGCACUGUCUCAACGAGAGACUCGGUGAAAUCAUAGUACCUGUGAAGAUGCAGGUUACCCGCGACAGGACGGAAAGACCCCGUGGAGCUUUACUGUAGCCUGAUAUUGAAAUUCGGCACAGCUUGUACAGGAUAGGUAGGAGCCUUUGAAACGUGAGCGCUAGCUUACGUGGAGGCGUUGGUGGGAUACUACCCUAGC